AUUGAACGCUGGCGGCAUGCCUUACACAUGCAAGUCGAACGGCAGCGCGGGGCAACCUGGCGGCGAGUGGCGAACGGGUGAGUAAUAUAUCGGAACAUACCCUAGAGUGGGGAUAACGUAGCGAAGUUACGCUAAUACCGCAUACGCACUAAGGUGGAAAGUGGGGGAUCUUCGGACCUCAUGCUCAUGGAGUGGCCGAUAUCUGAUUAGCUAGUUGGUGAGGUAAAGGCUCACCAAGGCGACGAUCAGUAGCUGGUUUGAGAGAACGACCAGCCACACUGGAACUGAGACACGGUCCAGACUCCUACGGAGGCAGCAGUGGGGAAUUUUGGACAAUGGGGGCAACCCUGAUCCAGCAAUGCCGCGUGAGUGAAGAAGGCCUC
rnacentral:rRNA from 1 species